AGCAUGUCCUGUAGUGGGGGAUAGCCCGGCGAAAGCCGGAUUAAUACCGCAUACGAUCUGAGGAUGAAAGCGGGGGACCUUCGGGCCUCGCGCUAUAGGGUUGGCCGAUGGCUGAUUAGCUAGUUGGUGGGGUAAAGGCCUACCAAGGCGACGAUCAGUAGCUGGUCUGAGAGGACGACCAGCCACACUGGGACUGAGACACGGCCCAGACUCCUACGGGAGGCAGCAGUGGGGAAUUUUGGACAAUGGGCGAAAGCCUGAUCCAGCAAUGCCGCGUGUGUGAAGAAGGCCUUCGGGUUGUAAAGCACUUUUGUCCGGAAAGAAAUCCUUGGUUCUAAUAUAGCCGGGGGAUGACGGUACCGGAAGAAUAAGCACCGGCUAACUACGUGCCAGCAGCCGCGGUAAUACGUAGGGUGCAAGCGUUAAUCGGAAUUACUGGGCGUAAAGCGUGCGCANGCGGUUUGCUAAGACCGAUGUGAAAUCCCCGGGCUCAACCUGGGAACUGCAUUGGUGACUGGCANGCUAGAGUAUGGCAGANGGGGGUAGAAUUCCACGUGUAGCAGUGAAAUGCGUAGAGAUGUGGANGAAUACC
rnacentral:rRNA from 1 species